rnacentral:lncRNA from 1 species
UUUUUAUCUAGUUGUAAACCUAGGGUUCAAAAUGCUAGUUUGUGAAAUAUGAGGGUUUGAUCUAAUUUGACCCUUCGUAAACCUAAUUGCUAGGUAACGAAACGCGUUGGCGAAGACGGAUCGGCAAUCCGACGAGCCGUUACAAAGUUAUUAAAGAAACACACGUUUAGGCUUCGUUUCCGCCUGGAGGGCCGAGGCAACGUCGUAAAAUCGUGAAAACGGGUUUGAAGCACCAUGGCAUAUAACCGAAGACCUUUAAUUUUUGGAUCGCAAAUCAGAGAUCGUUUGGGUGGUCGCGCGAGAGUUCGAGCCAAACCGGAUCGCGGGUGUCGCGGGCGGCCGAUUGCAAGUGACUACAAGCAAUCGGAGAGUAAGUUAAGGUGGGUUGUGCUUACCGAAGCGACUAGGUCGCCCUUAUGUCUAAGAAAAUUAAGAAUCUAUAUUGAUGCAUAUAAAUACUAAACGAGGCAUGUAGGUGAUGCAUGUAAAUGUAAAUAAGCAUGUGGAUGAUGUACGUAGUUGAUGUAAAUAAUGCAUGUGGAUAAUAUAAUGUAAAAUGCUAAGUAGGUGCAUGUAAAAUGAUAUAGAGAUCAUAGAAUACAUGAUUAGCAUCGCGAGAUUAUCUAUGCAUGUGAACUAGAGAAUGCUCGAUUAGACAACUAGGAUGUCGAACUAGAUCGAGUGGCAUCUAACCUAGUGUUAAAGAACAUAGGUUGUGAAUGAAUCUAGAGUCAUGUGAACUAGAUCGAGUGGCAUCUAACCUAGUGUAUAAAAUAUAGGUUGGACAUGAAUGACAAUGAACCUAGUGUUAUUGAACAUAGGUCAAGUGGCAUCUAACCUAGUGUAUAAAAUAUAGGUUGGACAUGAAUGACAAUGAACCUAGUGUUGUUAAACCUAGGAUGAAUCAUGAGUGGCAUCUAACCUAGUGUUAAAGGACAUAGGUUAUGGAUUGAACCUAGAGUUAAGUAAACCUAGGUUAUGUGAUAGAGACGUUGAACCUAGAGUCAAUUGGACCUAGGGUGAAAAGGACAUUGGACCUAGAUAGGUCAAUACUAUAGGGUUUGAAACCAACCCUUGAGCGAUAUGAAGUGGAUUCCGGAAUCCCUAGUGAUGUGGCCGCACAUGGAGCGGUGGAAAUUGUGGUAAAAGAGAUGGCAAGCGAAUCCUAACUGCAGGUAUGUGUGGUUCUCCUCGCCUGGCAGUGAUUCAACGGGUAUGUGUGGUUCUCCUCGCCCGGGAUGCCAUGAGAAUAAGCUGGAAUUGGGUAUGUGUGGUUCUCCUCGCCCAUUAGCUUAUCGGAUGAUGCCGCCUAGAUUGACUUGAACCAUUGUUGGGUGAGAGCGAUGUGGUCGCUGCCAGAUGACUAAGUUAUGACUUGAACCAUUGUUGGGUGAGGUGCGAUGAGUUCGCCGCCAGAUGGCUAAGUCAUGACUUGAGUUGUUGUUGGGUGAGAGCGAUGAGUUCGCCGCCAGAUGGUUAAGUCAGAUCUGCGGUAGGCUGCGACGGCAGCCAGGCUGAGGUGCAGCCAGUGCGCGGACUAUCCGCGGAUGAUUGACUCGAGGCCGAGUCGGGUGGUUAGCUUGAUUAGGUUAAUGGAAACCUUAUAAGCUAGUGAUUGAGGCAAGAACCUGAGGUAAUAGAGACCUUAGAAGCAAGUUGAACUUGAGUUGAGAACAUAAGGUAAUAGAAACCUUACAAUUGAAUGAAAUGAGCUAAAGUAGCAAAGUAAAUGUAGAACUAACAUAUCUACUAGUUGUUUAUGCAGUUGCAUAGUUGCAUAAUGUUCAUAUUGCAUUUGCGAGGCAAGGUAUGGUUUUAUUAAUUGCAUAGUCAAAUAUCUAUCUAUCUGUUUAUUAAACUAACCUGCAGUUGCCUCCUUGGACCUAUUGGUCGAGCUCCUCCCUUGGGUGGCCGUACCCACUGGGAACCAUGGAGUUGGUUCUCACCCCACGUUGUUUUGGGGUGUUACAGGUUCGCACGUGAGCGGCGCGGCGGCGCGAGGCAAGGGCGUAGCUCCAUAGAUAGCGCCCUACCCCAGAGACCAGAGAUAGCGGUACCCCGAGUCGGCAUAGCCUAGGGGUAGAGGAAAAUGAAAAGAAAACAAUGUAUCAAACCUGUAAUAUUAAUUGUAAUAACUUAAUUGCAUUCGGAGGUUGUAUGUAAUGAAAAAUGUAAAAUGUUUGAAUGUGAAUGCUUGUAAUAACAUAGGAUGUGUUAUGUUGUGAUACUUUUCUUAUGCAAUCAUGAUUGAUAUCUGUUCCUGGUUGGAACCCUUGUAAUGUUCAUUGUAUUAAUUGCGACGCCUAGGACGUACAGGGGAAACUCUGUCCGUUCGGCGGUCUGUCGACGCGCCCGAACUCGGCCAAAUAGGUGGGGCCCGGGGCGUGACAUUGCUUUUCAUAAUUUUCUUUUUACAUCACAUUUGCUCAUAAUAACACAUUACAUUCUUUUCUUUAACAUCUCAAAUCAUCGAAUACAAAAGACGAUAUAAGGUAUGCUACUAACAAAAUGUAAAGCCCGACUUUGGUAGUCACUGUAUACGGCGCGAUACCUUUACCGCGGUCGCUUGCUGGCUCACUCGGUCCCGGCUCUGUGAAAAUAGUGGGGUGAGAAUUACAAUGAAGUUCCCAGUGGGUUCGGCCCUAGUCUCACCAACUUUCCCACCAGGUCUAACUCAGGCAUAAUAGAAAGAAAGCAGAUAAGUAACCAACUAUACAAUGCAACUAAUAUGCCUGAACAAAGCUGUCAAUAAGGAUGCUCAAUGUAAAACUCAUGAAGAAUGCAAGUUCUUUGAUCUUUCGUUCAAUCUCAGGCUAACCCGUGAGUUUCGCCUCAACCAACACUUUUCUUUUACCCAAUCUCUUGGCUAACCCGUUGGGCUCUCAGCUUCCUCCCGCGGGGUUCCAUAACUCACCAACUCAAAAUCUCAUUUAACGGGCCCUCAGCUUCCUCCCGUUGGGACCGUCCUCUGGGGAACAGCACCAACCCAGUGAUGCAAACUCCGGAGCGCAUCGCCCGAGGGGGAGCGACCACCCUCGAGCAAGGACUUAUAGCGAGUAUGAUCUAAUCCUUAACUCUAAGGAUGUCAAGUUCAAUCCGUUCCUUUACCAUAAGAAAAUUAUGCACAAAUGACCCUUAGGUCUAAGGUUGUAUGUCAUUGCGUCUCCAUCUCAUGUUCUUUGCAUUCUUUGUUCCCAAUCAUGUCAUUUCACUAACUCUAGUGUUCUUUAGCCACACUUGUUGCUAACUCUAGCUUUUAUUCUUUGAUGCCACACUUGUUGCUAACUCUAGCUUUUAUUCUUUGUUGCCACACUUGUUGUUAACUCUAUCUUUUAUCUAUGCAUUUACUAAUGCCACUCGAUCUACAUGUCAUAGUGUUACCUUUGUUCCUUUACCACAACUAGGUUCUCAUGUUACAUCUCAUGCAUAUAUAGGG